AUACGUAGGGGGCUAGCGUUAUCCGGAUUUACUGGGCGUAAAGGGUGCGUAGGUGGUUUCUUAAGUCAGGAGUGAAAGGCUACGGCUCAACCGUAGUAAGCUCUUGAAACUGGGAAACUUGAGUGCAGGAGAGGAAAGUGGAAUUCCUAGUGUAGCGGUGAAAUGCGUAGAUAUUAGGAGGAACACCAGUAGCGAAGGCGGCUGCCUGGACUGUAACUGACACUGAGGCGCGAAAGCGUGGGGAGC
rnacentral:rRNA from 1 species